AUUGAACGCUGGCGGCAGGCCUAACACAUGCAAGUCGAGCGGAUGAAGGGAGCUUGCUCCUGGAUUCAGCGGCGGACGGGUGAGUAAUGCCUAGGAAUCUGCCUGGUAGUGGGGGAUAACGUCCGGAAACGGGCGCUAAUACCGCAUACGUCCUGAGGGAGAAAGUGGGGGAUCUUCGGACCUCACGCUAUCAGAUGAGCCUAGGUCGGAUUAGCUAGUUGGUGGGGUAAAGGCCUACCAAGGCGACGAUCCGUAACUGGUCUGAGAGGAUGAUCAGUCACACUGGAACUGAGACACGGUCCAGACUCCUACGGGAGGCAGCAGUGGGGAAUAUUGGACAAUGGGCGAAAGCCUGAUCCAGCCAGGCCGCGUGUGUGAAGAAGGUCUUCGGAUUGUAAAGCACUUUAAGUGGGGAGGAAGGGCAGUAAGUUAAUACCUUGCUGUUUUGACGGUACCAACAGAAUAAGCACCGGCUAACUUCGUG
rnacentral:rRNA from 1 species